AUUGAACGCUGGCGGCAGGCCUAACACAUGCAAGUCGAGCGAAUGAAGGGAGCUUGCUCCUGGAUUCAGCGGCGGACGGGUGAGUAAUGCCUAGGAAUCUGCCUGGUAGUGGGGGAUAACGUCCGGAAACGGGCGCUAAUACCGCAUACGUCCUGAGGGAGAAAGUGGGGGAUCUUCGGACCUCACGCUAUCAGAUGAGCCCAGGUCGGAUUAGCUAGUUGGUGGGGUAAAGGCCUACCAAGGCGACGAUCCGUAACUGGUCUGAGAGGAUGAUCAGUCACACUGGAACUGAGACACGGUCCAGACUCCUACGGGAGGCAGCAGUGGGGAAUAUUGGACAAUGGGCGAAAGCCUGAUCCAGCCAUGCCGCGUGUGUGAAGAAGGUCUUCGGAUUGUAAAGCACUUUAAGUUGGGAGGAAGGGCAGUAAGUUAAUACCUUGCUGUUUUGACGUUACCAACAGAAUAAGCACCGGCUAACUUCGUG
rnacentral:rRNA from 1 species